rnacentral:rRNA from 1 species
ACGAACGCUGGCGGCAGGCUUAACACAUGCAAGUCGAACGGUAACAGGAGAAAGCUUGCUUUCUUGCUGACGAGUGGCGGACGGGUGAGUAAUGCUUGGGAAUCUGGCUUAUGGAGGGGGAUAACGACGGGAAACUGUCGCUAAUACCGCGUAGAGUCGAGAGACGAAAGUGCGGGACCUUCGGGCCGCAUGCCAUGAGAUGAGCCCAAGUGGGAUUAGGUAGUUGGUGGGGUAAAGGCCUACCAAGCCGACGAUCUCUAGCUGGUCUGAGAGGAUGACCAGCCACACCGGGACUGAGACACGGCCCGGACUCCUACGG